CGCGAUGACGGCGCGACGGCGGCUGAAUUCUAAAUUUUCGGCGAUGUCAACGGACUUGGACCGGGCCUCAAAAGGACCCAAAAAUCUCGGCCCAAACUGAGAUUUGUUUUUGGGGUUAGACUGGGCUCGCUCUUGGGCUUGGGCUUCAAGACUAGGCUGCUGAACCAGGCUUUGAUGGGCUGAGCAAGAUUUUGCUUGGGCUCGUGGACGUGGGCCUGACUUCAACACCAAAUGAUGGGCUGCCCGAUGGAAAUUCUUCGGUGGGUCUUCGAACAGCAAGGGAAAUGGACCUUGCUGGAAUUCACUCGCCGAAGACACGAGCUGGAGGAGGCAAACUGGUGUCGCUGCAGCUGCUUCGUGGCUUCGGUUGUUGAAGACUGUCCGAAGAAGCUAAAGGCAGUAGGUAGCGGCAGUCAACUAAAGUGAAACGAGGCUGAUUUGUUGACCGAGAGAGGGCAGGCGGUGGAUGUGUGGCAGCUACUGGAUCCGCGUGAGGCUCCGGUGGGUUUUGCUUCGCGGAGAUGGGCUGCUCGGUCAACCAGAGGCUUCGGUGGUUGCUGUUGUUGACCGAAGGAGCUGAGCUUGGACGCGUGGAGAGGCAGGCGCCGCUGGCAAGGGUCUUCGGUGGUGUUGCUCGGUCUUCAAACCGUGCUGGCAGUUGACUGGAGGGGCAGACAGGCGAAUGAAAGAAGCGGUGGAGGCUUCGAGCUUCGCUGUCAAAGAUGAGAGCUGCAGGGGAAAUUGGACGCUGGCUUGCUUCGGUCUUCGUGGCAGCUCGGUGGAGAAGGAAACACUGGCUUCUCCCGCUGGUUUCUGGUCUUCAAGCGGCAAGGAUGAUUGAAGAAAUGGAGUUGCACGAUCAGAUGAGGGAG
rnacentral:lncRNA from 1 species